rnacentral:rRNA from 1 species
AGCGUACACGGUGGAUGCCCUGGCAGUCAGAGGCGAUGAAGGACGUGCUAAUCUGCGAAAAGCGUCGGUAAGGUGAUAUGAACCGUUAUAACCGGCGAUGUCCGAAUGGGGAAACCCAGUGUGAUUCGUCACACUAUCGUUAACUGAAUACAUAGGUUAACGAGGCGAACCGGGGGAACUGAAACAUCUAAGUACCCCGAGGAAAAGAAAUCAACCGAGAUUCCCCCAGUAGCGGCGAGCGAACGGGGAGCAGCCCAGAGUCUGAAUCAGCUUGUGUGUUAGUGGAACGGUCUGGAAAGUCCGACGGUACAGGGUGAUAGUCCCGUACACCAAAAUGCACAGGCUGUGAACUCGAAGAGUAGGGCGGGACACGUGGUAUCCUGUCUGAAUAUGGGGGGACCAUCCUCCAAGGCUAAAUACUCCUGACUGACCGAUAGUGAACCAGUACCGUGAGGGAAAGGCGAAAAGAACCCCGGCGAGGGGAGUGAAAAAGAACCUGAAACCGUGUACGUACAAGCAGUGGGAGCACCUUCGGGUGUGACUGCGUACCUUUUGUAUAAUGGGUCAGCGACUUAUAUUCUGUAGCAAGGUUAACCGUAUAGGGGAGCCGCAGGGAAACCGAGUCUUAACUGGGCGUUAAGUUGCAGGGUAUAGACCCGAAACCCGGUGAUCUAGCCAUGGGCAGGUUGAAGGUUGGGUAACACUAACUGGAGGACCGAACCGACUAAUGUUGAAAAAUUAGCGGAUGACUUGUGGCUGGGGGUGAAAGGCCAAUCAAACCGGGAGAUAGCUGGUUCUCCCCGAAAGCUAUUUAGGUAGCGCCUCGUGAACUCAUCUUCGGGGGUAGAGCACUGUUUCGGCUAGGGGGUCAUCCCGACUUACCAACCCGAUGCAAACUACGAAUACCGAAGAAUGUUAUCACGGGAGACACACGGCGGGUGCUAACGUCCGUCGUGAAGAGGGAAACAACCCAGACCGCCAGCUAAGGUCCCAAAGUCAUGGUUAAGUGGGAAACGAUGUGGGAAGGCACAGACAGCCAGGAUGUUGGCUUAGAAGCAGCCAUCAUUUAAAGAAAGCGUAAUAGCUCACUGGUCGAGUCGGCCUGCGCGGAAGAUGUAACGGGGCUAAACCAUGCACCGAAGCUGCGGCAGCGACACUAUGUGUUGUUGGGUAGGGGAGCGUUCUGUAAGCCUGCGAAGGUGUGCUGUGAGGCAUGCUGGAGGUAUCAGAAGUGCGAAUGCUGACAUAAGUAACGAUAAAGCGGGUGAAAAGCCCGCUCGCCGGAAGACCAAGGGUUCCUGUCCAACGUUAAUCGGGGCAGGGUGAGUCGACCCCUAAGGCGAGGCCGAAAGGCGUAGUCGAUGGGAAACAGGUUAAUAUUCCUGUACUUGGUGUUACUGCGAAGGGGGGACGGAGAAGGCUAUGUUAGCCGGGCGACGGUUGUCCCGGUUUAAGCAUGUAGGCUGGUUAUCCAGGCAAAUCCGGAUAAUCAAGGCUGAGGUGUGAUGACGAGGCACUACGGUGCUGAAGUAACAAAUGCCCUGCUUCCAGGAAAAGCCUCUAAGCAUCAGGUAACAUCAAAUCGUACCCCAAACCGACACAGGUGGUCAGGUAGAGAAUACCAAGGCGCUUGAGAGAACUCGGGUGAAGGAACUAGGCAAAAUGGUGCCGUAACUUCGGGAGAAGGCACGCUGGUGUGUAGGUGAAGUCCCUGCGGAUGGAGCUGAGACCAGUCGAAGAUACCAGCUGGCUGCAACUGUUUAUUAAAAACACAGCACUGUGCAAACACGAAAGUGGACGUAUACGGUGUGACGCCUGCCCGGUGCCGGAAGGUUAAUUGAUGGGGUUAUCCGUAAGGAGAAGCUCUUGAUCGAAGCCCCGGUAAACGGCGGCCGUAACUAUAACGGUCCUAAGGUAGCGAAAUUCCUUGUCGGGUAAGUUCCGACCUGCACGAAUGGCGUAAUGAUGGCCAGGCUGUCUCCACCCGAGACUCAGUGAAAUUGAACUCGCUGUGAAGAUGCAGUGUACCCGCGGCAAGACGGAAAGACCCCGUGAACCUUUACUAUAGCUUGACACUGAACAUUGAGCCUUGAUGUGUAGGAUAGGUGGGAGGCUUUGAAGCGUGGACGCCAGUCUGCGUGGAGCCAACCUUGAAAUACCACCCUUUAAUGUUUGAUGUUCUAACGUUGGCCCCUGACCGGGGUUGCGGACAGUGUCUGGUGGGUAGUUUGACUGGGGCGGUCUCCUCCCAAAGCGUAACGGAGGAGCACGAAGGUUAGCUAAUCCUGGUCGGACAUCAGGAGGUUAGUGCAAUGGCAUAAGCUAGCUUGACUGCGAGCGUGACGGCGCGAGCAGGUGCGAAAGCAGGUCAUAGUGAUCCGGUGGUUCUGAAUGGAAGGGCCAUCGCUCAACGGAUAAAAGGUACUCCGGGGAUAACAGGCUGAUACCGCCCAAGAGUUCAUAUCGACGGCGGUGUUUGGCACCUCGAUGUCGGCUCAUCACAUCCUGGGGCUGAAGUAGGUCCCAAGGGUAUGGCUGUUCGCCAUUUAAAGUGGUACGCGAGCUGGGUUUAGAACGUCGUGAGACAGUUCGGUCCCUAUCUGCCGUGGGCGCUGGAGAAUUGAGGGGGGCUGCUCCUAGUACGAGAGGACCGGAGUGGACGCAUCACUGGUGUUCGGGUUGUCAUGCCAAUGGCACUGCCCGGUAGCUAAAUGCGGAAGAGAUAAGUGCUGAAAGCAUCUAAGCACGAAACUUGCCCCGAGAUGAGUUCU